UUUGAUCAUGGCUCAGGAUGAACGCUGGCGGCGUGCUUAACACAUGCAAGUCGAACGAACCUUCGGGUUAGUGGCGGACGGGUGAGUAACGCGUGGGAAUCUGCCCUCAGGAGGGGGAUAACGGCUGGAAACGGGCGCUAAUACCCCAUAUGCCGAGAGGGGAAAUGAAUUUCGCCUGAGGAUGAGCCCGCGUCUGAUUAUCUAGUUGGUGAGGUAAGAGCUCUCCAAGGCAUCGAUCAGUAGCUGGUCUGAGAGGAUGAUCACCCACACUGGGACUGAGACACGGCCCAGACUCCUACGGGAGGCAGCACUGGGGAAUUUUCCGCAAUGGGCGAAANCCUGACGGACCACCGCCGCGUGAGGGAUGAAAGGCCUCUGAGGGCUGUAUAACCUCUUUUCUCACAUGGAGAGAAG
rnacentral:rRNA from 1 species